CAAUCCAGGUGUAGAAAACUCUUAGAGACUUACCCAGAAAGACUCACAGCUGUAAUCACUGCCAAAGGUGACUAUAACAUGUCUUGACUCAGGGCUGGGAACAAUUCUGCAUAAUUACUGACAUUUCUGUAUUUAAUUUUCAAUAUUUUGAAAAAAUAUCGAUAAGCAUGUUUUGAUUUGGCAUUAUGGGGCUGUAACACAGCAAAAUGUGGAAUAAGUCAAGGGGCAUGAAUACUUUGAAGUCACUGUAUGCUAAUGAUCCACUGCUCGCAUUUCCUGCCUCCGCCUCUUCGUCAGUCUCCCCGCCUCGCCUCCAUACCCCAGGGAAAUAAUUGAAGAGAAGCUUGUCCUUGGUUGCUCAAGUCUUCUGUUUUCCAUUUGUCAUAAAAUUCUGUCUUACUGGUUCAUUCUUUUGUUGAUGUAACGUUAUAUAAUGGAAUACGUAAGCUCUUGCCGAGCGGCACCGUUUGUCAUCGGAUUCUGUGUUGCUCUGCCUGUCUUU